ensembl:lncRNA
GGCGUCAUGGUCAGACUGGAGAACCUGGACUUCCUGGACAAGUGUAUAUCCUACCAGGCAUGGAGGGAGAAACAGGAAACCCAGGUCCUCCAGCCACAUGCAACUGUUCACAGGUUCAGAGCCCACAACGAUUGGUGGACAGCGUGCACACGGUGUUUGUUGCGGAUGGAGAGAAAGCGAUGAGAAGGCUGCGCGUGGAGAAUGUGAUGGUGCUUCGCACGGACAAAAAGGCUCUGUACAUCUACACUGAGUCUCAGUGGAUCAACGUAUUGGUAACACACAGCAACAAUUGAAUGGAAACACAAGAUCCAACACACAAUACACAACUGUCUGAUGUUUAAUGAAGAGUCUCUGUGUUGCUCUCUGUCCACACAAACACACGAUUUGAGUGUUUCUUCUUCCACAUACUGAAGCUUUAAAUUAUUAUUGAUUAUGAUAAUGAUUAUUCUUUUUUUUUUAUUUUGGCAACAAGCACAAAUCGGUGUAGCCCAUAUAUCAACAGCUACGCAGCUCGAAGUGGGGGGCAGGCUUUAUUAACAGUCACAGUGUCGUCUUUUCUGUGUGUUUUCCCUGCAUGGAGCAGCAGGAUCCCCGACACUGACGGCAUACUGAAGCUGAACCAGACCUCCAACCUCAGCUGUCCAUUAGCAGCGUCUGACCAGCUCCUCUAACAUUUACAAGCAUUCCCUUGGAUUUGUGUGACCACUCUAAUAUGACCUAUAAAUAUCCUUUUGUGAAAACUCGAGCUGAAAGGAUUUUUUCCACCAAGUUGGUGUUGUGGCCUGAUGAGUGACGGAAGGCUCAUCAGCGUUGUCUAAUUGUCCAUCACAGACUGUUGGUCACUGAACAUCCUCGGGAUCACCCCUGCAGCAGUUCUAACUUUAGUAAUCACCAUCAUUUACAAAGUUUACAUGUUAUAUUUGAUAAGAUCUGACAACUGAAAGCAUAACGUCAUCAGGACUGUGCUGUGUGACUCUCCUGAGGUCACAGAGUAAGGAGGCUCAUUUCCUCACAGACACAAACAGAAGUCACUUAAAAUAAUGUUCCUGUAUCGUUUACCUUUCCAGACCUGGAAGCUAUGC